rnacentral:rRNA from 1 species
GUUUACAGCCAUGCCAGCUGUCUGAACAAGCCCGAUGUCUGAUCUUGGAAGCUAAGCAGGGUUGGGCCUGGUUAGUACUUCAAUGGGAGACCACCUAGGAAGACUAGGUGCUGUAGGCA